rnacentral:rRNA from 1 species
UACGUAGGGUGCAAGCGUUGUCCGGAAUUAUUGGGCGUAAAGAGCUCGUAGGCGGUCUGUUGCGUCCGCUGUGAAAUCCCGGGGCUCGACCCCGGGCCUGCAGUGGAUACGGGCUGGCUAGAGGCAGGUAGGGGAGAACGGAAUUCCUGGUGUAGCGGUGAAAUGCGCAGAUAUCAGGAGGAACACCGGUGGCGAAGGCGGAUCUCUGGGCCGUACCUGACGCUGAGGAGCGAAAGCGUGGGGAGCGAACAGG